rnacentral:tRNA from 2 species
GGUGGGGUGUCCGAGUGGUUAAAGGAGGCAGACUGUAAAUCUGUUCGGCUUCGCCGUACACUGGUUCGAAUCCAGUCCCCACCACCA